rnacentral:lncRNA from 12 species
AUGCGCUCGUGUUUGGAACAGAACUGUAAAGUUAUUUUAAAAAAAAUGAAGCUCUAUACCAUUGUCAGCGCAUUAUUUUCAGUUGCUGUGUGUGUUGCUCCGUUGAAUUAUGAGGCAACUGAAGGAGAGAAUGUUACUAUCUCCUUCAAAACUGCUGAACUGGAGAGAGCCGAUCAAGUGAAGAUAACUCUGACCAGAGGAAGUCAGAAAAAACUGAUUGCGCAGCACUGUCGCUGUGUCCAUCGUGGAGACUGUAGUGUUGUGGAAACAUCGGGAGUCUUACUGAGAGCUGAAGAAGGAACCGUAACUCUUCUGCGUGUCAGCUCCAAUAACUCAGGCCUCUAUGAAGUAAUAAUCAUUGGAAGUAAUGUGUCCAGGAUAAAUGCCACACUUGUUGUCAACGGUGAGUAUGUUACCACAAUAUAUCUGUUUAUCUAUAUCAGUAUUAUGAGAAAAAAAUCCUGUAACGAUUGUGUUCAUAAAGUCAUUUAAAGUCAAUUAGGAAUCUGCAAGUUCAGAAAAGUUGCCCAUGCAAGUUUAGCGUGUGUUCAGUUCAGUUUAGUGGGUCAUGUGCUGACCAGCAGAAAGCUGCUUGACUUUAAAGUGGAUUCUGUGUGAACUGUGCUUCAAACAUCACUGCACUACUGAUACACUACUGAUACACACACACACAUGAUCAAGUUGUCUUCACUAGGUGUAGACUGGGGCAUUCAAGACUUACCCAUGGGUUUUUAUUAAUAGGCGAAGUUCCUCCUUUAUGUCUUUCAUGUAAAGUUCCUUUGACUAUUAAGCAUAUUUUGUUGAAUUGUAAUUUUUAUGAAGCUGCUAGAAAACGCUUUUAUUCAGAAACAUGCUUGCACGGAAUAUUUGAAAAUGUACCACCUAAAUGUAUUUUAGAUUUUCUAUCUUAUGUUAAGUUGAAAUGUUUUAUAUAAUGUAAAUCUUAUGGAUGAUACUGAACCUUUUUGCCAUGUAAAUAGCCAUGAUGCUAACAUGGUGUAAAAAACUUAAUAAACAAACAAACUGAUACACGCACUACUGAUACACUACAGUCGUGGCCAAAAGUUUUGAGAAUUACAUAAAUAUUGGAAAUUGGAAAAGUUGCUGCUUAAGUUUUUAUAAUAGCAAUUUGCAUAUACUCCAGAAUGUUAUGAAGAGUGAUCAGAUGAAUUGCAUAGUCCUUCUUUGCCAUGAAAAUUAACUUAAUCCC